GUCUGUUUGCCUCCAUAUUUGCUCUGCUUGUGCACUUAUCAAUAAAGCAAGUGUGUGGUGUUAGCUGCCACAUGUUUGCUUCAUUGACAAAUGCACAAGCAGAGCAUAUACGAAGGCAAACAGUU